CAAUACCUGUGUCUUUAUAUAAAUGAAUAUUUAGUAUUCAUAACUUUUAAAGAACCUUUACCUUCAGAACAAGAAUGCUUCUGGAACUCCAGAAAGGAAAUUUGGAGUCCAAGAUGACUUUUUUAAUCCUUUUGAAAACUUGCUGUGUACUCUUGUGAUAGACACAUUUUGAAACUAGAAUCCAUCCUGAUAUUAAUAGGAGAUUAAGACUCCCUCUUGUGGCUGCUUUCAGCUGAUCUCGGGGAUCUGUGUGAUGAUUUUGUCAUCAUGAGUCCUAAGGUAAGUGGGCAUUGCUGAUAGCAAGGACAGAAGACCUAGUCAAGUUUCUACAAAAUUCACUUGAACAGUGUCUCAAGUUGAUUCUUCUUACAUGUGAAAAGUCUUGAGCUGAGUAAGAAGUAAGAAGAGGACAAAAUUGGAAUGAAAAAGUUCUGAUAAUUCAUUCUGAAUGUAAUUGAGGUGAAGGAAGUUGAGAGAGCCAGAGAAGAUGGAGGUGACUGGGAAAUCCAAGUGCAAUUUAUACAUAUUUGCUAGCUUACCAUGCUCCUCUGAAUCCAGAAAGGGGAUCUCAUAGGCCCUGCAGAAAACAGGAAGGUGCCAAGUUCUGAACCUGCUGGGCCCAUGUGAGCAAUAUGUGACAGACAACCACAGGAAGCAGAUUAAUUGCAAUAUUUAACUUAAGACAAGUUUCCCUAGUCCCUUCCACGUGCUGCAGAAGGGUUGGCAAGCCUGGUGCUGCAUCAGUGCAGGUCCCUCUUGGCUGUGAUGUGUCUGCGCUGGAUGAGAGCAAGCGGUGAGGAGGGCGGAAUUGCUAGCGCGCUCCGAGUCUGCCCAGCUGGCUGAGAGCUGCUCUGGGCUGUUGCAGGGCUGGGAGAGAAGCAGAAGCUGCUGAGAAAUGAAGAGCCUUGCUGUGCCUAACUGCAUCCAGGAGCAAGAGGGCUCAAAGAAAUGAAAUGAGAGCAUUUAAUAAGCUGUGCGGAGAAUGGAAUCUGACCCGUCUUUUGUCUGAGCGAAAGGGACUGGAUAGAGCCUUAAACGUGAAUCAAAUCACUUGCAACCAUCCCCCCGGUUCCUGUCCCCUGCCUGCAGCUCUCCAGGCUCCCGCGUCUGAGCGCUCUGCCCGGGUGCUCCUGGGGGACACGGUCAGGUGUGGCCCGACUUGGCUUUCGUUUUCAGGAAGCUGCUGACAGCAGGCCUGACCCUGGCCAUGUGCACGCAGCGGGAGGCUCUGCCCGUCCCCAGGCGCGGCCUCGGGCGCUCGUGGCAAGCCUGCGCUCCAGGCUAAACAGAGGAAGGUGAGGGUCAGCAGCAGAGAGCUCUGCCCAAGACUCAGGAAGCACAUUUUGGCAGAGGAAAGAAAUACAAUACAAGCAGGGAGGGAAGCUCAGCUUCCAUCCAGCCCCCUCCAAGGAGCGUUUGGCUCCCUACAGCUGUUGGAGUCUUUAGUAUCAGUUGUUGGGCU
rnacentral:lncRNA from 1 species